rnacentral:tRNA from 1 species
CAUCAGAUGACUGAAAGCAAGUAAUGGUCUCUUAAACCAGCCUAUGAUAUAAUUAGCACAUAUCUCUGAUGA